rnacentral:ribozyme from 1 species
CUUCUCCGUGUGCUGUGACCUUGACGUGGUGGAGAAGCUUAAGUCCUUCCAGAAACUUCCACCUGAAAUAGUUUUCUUCACCAGUGUAUUGAAGAACGCCAGGGUAAACUCAUCUAGGAGGGAAAACCAACAACAGC